GAUGAACGCUAGCGGCAGGCUUAGUACAUGCAAGUCGAGGGGCAGCAUGAAUGUAGCAAUACAUUUGAUGGCGACCGGCAAACGGGUGCGGAACACGUACACAACCUUCCUAUAAGUGGGGGAUAGCCCAGAGAAAUUUGGAUUAAUACCCCGUAACAUAAUGAUGUGGCAUCACAUUAUUAUUAUAGCUACGGCGCUUGUUGAUGGGUGUGCGGCUGAUUAGAUAGUUGGCGGGGUAACGGCCCACCAAGUCUACGAUCAGUAGCUGAUGUGAGAGCAUGAUCAGCCACACGGGCACUGAGACACGGGCCCGACUCCUACGGGAGGCAGCAGUAAGGAAUAUUGGUCAAUGGACGCAAGUCUGAACCAGCCAUGCCGCGUGAAGGAUUAAGGUCCUCUGGAUUGUAAACUUCUUUUAUCUGGGACGAAAAAAGGCUAUUCUUAGUCACUUGACGGUACCAGAUGAAUAAGCACCGGCUAACUCCGUGCCAGCCGCCGCCGUAAAAC
rnacentral:rRNA from 1 species